rnacentral:rRNA from 1 species
AGUGAACGCUGGCGGUAGGCCUAACACAUGCAAGUCGAACGGCAGCACAGUAAGAGCUUGCUCUUACGGGUGGCGAGUGGCGGACGGGUGAGGAAUACAUCGGAAUCUACUUUUUCGUGGGGGAUAACGUAGGGAAACUUACGCUAAUACCUCAUACGACCUACGGGUGAAAGCAGGGGAUCUUCGGACCUUGCGCGAUUGAAUGAGCCGAUGUCGGAUUAGCUAGUUGGCGGGGUAAAGGCCCACCAAGGCGACGAUCCGUAGCUGGUCUGAGAGGAUGAUCAGCCACACUGGAACUGAGACACGGUCCAGACUCCUACGGGAGGCAGCAGUGGGGAAUAUUGGGCAAUGGGCGCAAGCCUGAUCCAGCCAUACCGCGUGGGUGAAGAAGGCCUUCGGGUUGUAAAGCCCUUUUGUUGGGAAAGAAAAGCAGCAGGUUAAUACCCCGCUGUUCUGACGGUACCCAAAGAAUAAGCACCGGCUAACUUCGUG